GCCCGCGCUCCUCCGGCUCCGCGGCGCCCUCGCCGGGUGCGUGCCGCUUGCACGCCCGCCCGCCCGGCUCUCCGCGCCCGCCGCCCGCGCCCGGCCCCGGCGCCCCGGCCCUGCUGCCCGCGCUUCAUGGCUGCGCACGAAUGGGACUGGUUCCAGCGCGAGGAGCUCAUCGGACAGAUCAGCGACAUCCGAGUCCAGAACCUUCAAGAGUUGAGAUACAUGAACUCUGGAAAUGCUGAUAACCCCGAGUGAGUCAAGUCUGGAAUAUUUUGGAUAAACAUUCUUCUAUUUCAUGUGAAAUAUCAAAGUCUAUUCAGAAAACAAGAGAGCAUCAUUAGAGGAUUGGCUGAUAUGCAGUUCCUGAUUUUUGGCUACAUUACAUCAAGCAUUAAACAUACAAUUAUGAGGAACUUAAAUUCCCAGAGGAUGGAAGGAAAACCCUAAUCAUGCCUCACUGUUUAAGUAUGGUUGAAUGACAUCAUACUGUACGUCUGUUAUUUCAUUUAUUUUCCUGAACUUCCCCUCUCUGCUUAGUUGAAGGUCACCCCAUAACCUUCAUUGCUCUGGUUCCAUCGGCUCCAUGGUAUUGUUUAUGAAACCAAUAGUGAUCAUUGAUAAUGACACUUCCAUUUUUUCUCUUUCUACUUAUUUUUAUAAAACAAGGAUGAAUUGCAAUCGAAUGUUCCAGUAACUCCCCAAACAUGUGGUACAAUGAAGAUGGCAGUGUAGCUAAAAGGCUCCCCUGUGCUGUAGCUUGGCCCCUUCCUUGUCAGGGUGAUUUAGCCAAGAUGCAGCUUGAGUGACUAAAGAGAAUUUGGGGCAUUGCUGUCGUAAAAUGUAUAAUAUAGAGUACAGGUUCUAUAAAAAUCAGCUAAGUCAG
rnacentral:lncRNA from 1 species